GGCUGCCUGGCCCAAUGGUUAAGGCGCCUGCCUACGAGGUUUCUGGCCGAGCAGGAGAUUCCAGGUUCGAGUCCUGGGGUGGUCG